rnacentral:tRNA from 1 species
GGUAUGUAGCUCAGUGGCAGAGUGCUUGCCUAGCAAGUAGGAAACCCUUGGUUCAAUCCCCAGUACCA